rnacentral:lncRNA from 1 species
CUUAAAUGGUUUUUCAUAUCUGUAGGAAUUAUUACUCUGUUUAGAAGCUGGAAGAUAGGUAGAUAAUAGUGCUAUUGUGUAAGCAUGUAAAGUUUUUGUGUCAUUUCUAUUCCUGCUUCUCUACAACCAGAAAUUGAUUAUUAAUACUGCACAGGGAAGAGCCUCUGAACGUAUAGAUCUACCCCAUCUGAUAUGGAGACCUUAAAACUGGAAUUUUCAAACCCCAGCUGAUUAGCAUCAGGAGAGCUGCCAAAAUGAGCUGACACAAGUGCAGCACUGUCUUCUCCCUACAUAUGUCUUGGAUCAUGAGGCAUAGCAGCAUUUGAGCUUCAGAAUGGUGCUUGAAGAGCAUGCUUCAUGGGGAUAUGAGCAUAGUAAUCAAGAAACCAGAGAAAAAUGCAAAGCUGGAAUCACAGUCAGAAGCCUCCAGUCAUCCUGUGCAACAGGCUAGUAUCCUAACCCCACUU